CCCAGAGACUGACAAGUGUGCUGCUUCAAUGAACGUUAGCGUCGGGUCGUUCUCGGACCCGGAAGGAUUGGAAGGCCUAGCUCACUUCCUUGAGCAUAUGCUGUUUUAUGCAAGUGAAAAAUAUCCAGAGGAAGAUAGCUAUUCCAAGUACAUCACAGAG